GGAAAAACCAAUUUUACGUGUGAUUAAUGUAAUUUUAAUGGUUGGAUUAUUUAUUUGUAACCAUUUAAAGAAUAGGCGCGGAUUUGUAAAUUGAAUCUGAGCAAAACGGUUCAGUACUAUAUAUUAAACAGCGAAGAGUAACCGCGGGACAUAAAGCGCAAGACAGUCUUUUACAUAGGAGGAAAGAAUAUCAGAGUUAAACCAAACAGCAACCAUGACUACUGAUAACAGCAAUCCGAAUUGGUGUGACAAUUGUCUGUGUUUUCCUGGUUAUGGCAAUAGUAUUGUUACCUUGGAUUCUGGCAAGAAAUACAUAGAAGAUGUAAAAGUGGGCGAUUCGGCCAAGGUGGUGUUGGACGAUGGAAGUUUUGGUUAUUCAGUUGUUUGGGCCUUGGCUCACUACGAUCCGGCUACAGAGACCUACUUCAUUCAAAUAGAUUUAGAGAACAGACGGCUUAAUAUUAGCCCAAGACAUUACCUGGUUGUGAAUCGGAACGGCAAAAGGGUGGAUGUAAUGGCCAAAGAUGUUAAGGUUGGAGAUGAGUUAAUAGUUUAUGACGAGCUACUAUACAAAGAUGCUGCAGGAACUGAAAAAAGUGGUCGACAUUGAACUCGUUGAUGGAAAGGGCGUUUUUGCGCCUUUCACCAAACAAGGUCGUCUUAUUGUAAAUGGCGUAUUGGUGUCAUGCUAUGCUGAGGUUAAUCCUUCCCUUGCUCACACAGCCUUGGCUCCACUCAGAGCUAUGUACGAUGUUACACCAACUGCUGUCAUGGAUACGGUUAUGACCCAUAACGCAAACGGUGUUCCGCAUGUGUUUAACACAACGUUUAAUGUUGUAAAAUCUCUUGUUACCGAGUAGCGACUAGGAUUAUUAUAUAGCGCUGCAUUAUGUCCAAUGCAAUGGUCAUUUCUAAGCGCUGUUCAGCCACAUUGUAUAUUAAGUGGAAAGUAUCUCUAGAGUAUUUUUAUGAUCACAUUUUAUACGCUUAGAAUUAUUUUAUUUCUUUUUAGUUUGUAUAUAAGAUUCUAUUGUUAAAGAAUUUUGAGGUUUUUCUUAAAUUAAAGUUUAUAGUCUGAAUGGUUCUUUGCUAAUAUCCUCCAACCGCACCCCACCUUAUCAAUAUCAUCAUGAACAAUGAGUGUUGUUCUCUAAUUGAAGACCUGUUGAGUUCAGGUAAGUCCCAAAUUUAACCGGGUACCUGUUAAUAAAAGUAUGUUUAAAUCUACAAUAUAAAAUGACAAAAUGUGUAGAAACAGCCCUAAUGUUAUUUGAAACCGCAGUGGCCCCAUAAGUAACUCGGAGAUCCAGGGUUCGAUCCUGGUGUUGUCAGAGAAGGUUCCUCAGGAUUUUCCAGUGUGUUUUUCCCUGGUCAGUAGAGCAUGAAAAGGAACAGUGUCUAGUCGGUCGGAUGAGACGAGAACCCGAGGUCCCAUAUAUACAUUGAGGUUCACGUCUGGGUAAAUUGAUCUAAUGUCACAAAUUGUCAUCUGGGAUUCAAUCAAAGAUUCAGCCAAAUAGUCAUCUGGGAUUUAGCCAGAUAGUCAUCUGGGAUCCAGUCUAAGAUUCAGCCAGAAAGUCAUCUGGAAAUCAGCCAAAUAGUCAUCUGGGAUUCGGUCUAAGAUUCAGCUGAAUAGUCAUCUGAGAUUCAUCCAAACAACCAUUUUAUACCCUGGGAUUCGGUCAUCUGGGAUUCGGUCUAAGAUUCAGCUGAAUAGUCAUCUGAGAUUCAUCCAAACAACCAUUUUAUACCCUGGGAUUCGGUCAUCUGGGAUUCGGUCUAAGAUUCAGCUGAAUAGUCAUCUGAGAUUCAUCCAAACAACCAUUUUAUACCCUGGGAUUCGGUCAUCUGGGAUUCGGUCUAAGAUUCAGCUGAAUAGUCAUCUGAGAUUCAUCCAAACAACCAUUUUAUACCCUGGGAUUCGGUCAUCUGGGAUUCGGUCUAAGAUUCAGCUGAAUAGUCAUCUGAGAUUCAUCCAAACAACCAUUUUAUACCCUGGGAUUCGGUCAUCUGGGAUUCGGUCUAAGAUUCAGCUGAAUAGUCAUCUGAGAUUCAUCCAAACAACCAUUUUAUACCCUGGGAUUCGGUCAUCUGGGAUUCGGUCUAAGAUUCAGCUGAAUAGUCAUCUGAGAUUCAUCCAAACAACCAUUUUAUACCCUGGGAUUCGGUCAUCUGGGAUUCGGUCUAAGGUUCAGCUGACUAGUAAUCUGAGAUUCAUCCAAACAGUCAUUUUAUAUCCUUUGAUCUGAUGACUUAACACCAACAGUUAUAACUCUACUUCAACACAACAUGAACACCAUCACCUACCAUGGUCGUUUAUUGCCAAUUGGUGUGAUCGAGAGGGAAUGGGUUUUAACACCCACAUCCACUAGGUCAUUUUGGGACUAACAUAUGGCACAACUUCUCUUUUCAAACAUUAGCUGGCGUUCAUAGGUCCUUAGCGGUGGGGCGGUGAGUUGAGUUAGAAUACCCGGAAAAAAACCCACGAGGUUAGGCAGGCGGCCUCGUCACGUAGAAGGGGGUGAUCAAAAUCACACAGCUCGACUAAAUGACAGCGUUUAGCCCCCCCCCCCCCUCCAACACCCGUAGUAAAAUAAUAUAAGUUCUUUUCUAUUCGAAUAUACCUUUCGUGUCCUUUAAUUACAUUUGAACUUGUAAGAAUUGUUUUUGUUUUCAAUAUUAAGAUAUUACUUCCAUACUAGCAUUCAGUUUAUAAUCCUAUUUUUUAUAUUACUAUUAUUUCAAUUACAUAGUCAGGUUCUAAAAUAGAUAUUACGCCUUAGAUUAUAUUCUAAUCAUAUCAAUGUCACAUCAAUGUUAUUACCAUGAAAGCUACUUGAACAGCCACGCAAUUGGGAAAACCAAUGUUACGUGUGAAUUUUCAUUGGUUGUAGGACACCAGACACAUUCCUACCUAGUUGCACUCGACGGCCAGGCGUGAAAACCCCUGAUAAAGCCCACUAAAGCAGUACUUUUUUAUUAUUAUUUAUUGCCGUUGUCUUUAACAUUUUUUAUAGUCAGCAAAUAUCGCACUUUAUCUGUGGCUAUGUCUUGGACCAAAUAUUCAAGCGAAACACCACCGAAAAGAAGGGAAACACAAUUUCGUAAUUACUAGUAAUUCUUGAUUGAUAUACUUAGCAUUCUUGCACGUGUUCCACAAUUUCUUGAGAUAUUUCAGAAAAAGCAUGAGACUGAAAUGCAACCCUACUCCGGGUUAGGUAAAAUCCCAGUGCUAAACCCCGAAUCAAAUCGGGGUCAUUGCAGUCCUAACGCAACGUUUUUGAUCCAAUAGUAAUUAUAAUUAAAAGUAAGGGUCGGAGGUAAACUGCCAAAUCUGAGUCCAACAUAGCCGCCGCAUAGUAAUGAGUCUAUUUUCAACAUGGGGUUAGGGUUAGGAUUAUAAUAAUUAUAUACGGUGGCCUUGUUGGUGUCAACCUGGGUCCUAAUUGCCUCUUACCAAAACCUCUAAACUGACAAAACAUCGGGUCGAAGGAGUGGGUAGGGAGGAAGUAAUUAUUAUUUUUCUAAACGAGGCUUUAGGCGAUCUAUUCGCACCAGCCUAAAUUGUUUAUAUUUCAUUCCAAAUUACAAUCCGUUUAAACUUACAUGUCUUUGUAUUCAAUCUAUAACACGUUAUAUACACUUCAAUACACAUAACGUAAGUGCUUCCAAACCCUGACAAUUAUUAGUUAUAACACGUGAUAUAUAGAUCAAUGCAAAUAACGUAUAGUGAUUUUAGACUAUGGCAACCGAUGAGUGCAAUAUCACAGACAGCAAGAUCAACCAAGCAUAUUGAAUUUCAAAAUGUAAAUGACUGACAGUCUAUCAAUCAUUCGGGAGAUCAGACAGCCAAUUAAAACACUGCAAAGAUUUACUAUCUUGACUCAGGAAUAUGGAAAACUGGAACAGGGACAUAAUCAAUUAAACUACCUGAAGUCGUACUUUACCUAUGACUCAGAAUAAUUUGGGGAAAAAGCACAACGAAAUACAUUUAAGGUAACGUUGAUUCCCUAAUAAUUUUUCAACGCCAUGCCUUACCUAAAGAUAUACACGGUACACCAUAUACGACCAGACUGAGCAGUGGAUUGGUUCUAAUAUCAAACCUAAUAGGUGACACCAACGCAAAUGAACACCUUAUCGUAAACCGUUCAUAUACUUAACAUUAGAGCCAUAAAAUUGUAUAUAUAUCGUAUAUAUGAUUAUAUAGACUUGAUAGGAUCACCACGAUUAUCUCGCGAUUAAAACCACGAUUUCAAUCGUAGCGCGAAUCUUGAUAUUGGGAACCUAGCAUUAAAAUGUUUAUACAGUAUUAUCCUAACCGCAUCGAAUUCAAAUGAACAAUUUAAAUAUAGGUAUCGUAAGUUCAAUGUACUUGUCGUACAAGAUGUGAAGGGAUUUGGCACGGUUGGAUUUACUAUUAUUGUAUACUAAAUUCAUUACAAUAAAUUCUUACGUCAUGCAUUUUCCAGUAAAAAUAUACCAUGUGACAAAUGAAAUCUAUGUGGUGGUGCAAUUCUAUGUAGAUAGGCGUGGUUUUAUAUUACCAAUCAAUCAAAUCAAAUAGGUUGAAUGGGAAAACCCUUUCAGUAGAAUAUAUAUUGAACAGCCAGAAGUAACUUCAGGACAUAGCGCUAGACGGUCAUUUAAGUUGAAGGAAAGAAUAUCAGUGUUAAACCCAACAGCAAAUAUGAGUUCUGACAACAGCAAUGGGAAUUGUUGUGACAACUGUCCAUGUUUUCCUGGUUAUGGCAAUAGUAUUGUCACCUUAGAAUCGGGAAAAACUUACAUAGAAGACGUAAAAGUGGGUGAUUUAGCCAAGGUGGUGUUGGACGAUGGAAGUUUUGAUUAUUCAGAAGUUUGGACCUUGGCUCACCACAAUCCAGCUACAGAAACCAACUUUAUCCAGAUCGAGACAGAGAACAGACGGCUAAAUAUUAGCCCUCGACAUUUUUUGGUAGUGAAUCGGAACGACGAGAGAAUAGAUUUAAUGGCGAAAGAUGUUAAGGUUGGAGAUGAGUUAAUCGUUUAUGACGAGCUACUAUACAAAGAUGCUGCCGGAACUGAAAAAGUGGUCGACAUUGAAGUCAUUGAAGGAAAGGGCGUUUUUGCGCCUUUCACCAAACAAGGUCGACUGAUUGUAAAUGG